AUGCUGGAGGUAUCAGAAGUGCGAAUGCUGACAUAAGUAACGAUAAAGCGGGUGAAAAGCCCGCUCGCCGGAAGACCAAGGGUUCCUGUCCAACGUUAAUCGGGGCAGGGUGAGUCGACCCCUAAGGCGAGGCCGAAAGGCGUAGUCGAUGGGAAACAGGUUAAUAUUCCUGUACUUGGUGUUACUGCGAAGGGGGGACGGAGAAGGCUAUGUUGGCCGGGCGACGGUUGUCCCGGUUUAAGCGUGUAGGCUGGUUUUCCAGGCAAAUCCGGAAAAUCAAGGCUGAGGCGUGAUGACGAGGCACUACGGUGCUGAAGCAACAAAUGCCCUGCUUCCAGGAAAAGCCUCUAAGCAUCAGGUAACAUCAAAUCGUACCCCAAACCGACACAGGUGGUCAGGUAGAGAAUACCAAGGCGCUUGAGAGAACUCGGGUGAAGGAACUAGGCAAAAUGGUGCCGUAACUUCGGGAGAAGGCACGCUGAUAUGUAGGUGAAGUCCCUCGCGGAUGGAGCUGAAAUCAGUCGAAGAUACCAGCUGGCUGCAACUGUUUAUUAAAAACACAGCACUGUGCAAACACGAAAGUGGACGUAUACGGUGUGACGCCUGCCCGGUGCCGGAAGGUUAAUUGAUGGGGUUAGCGCAAGCGAAGCUCUUGAUCGAAGCCCCGGUAAACGGCGGCCGUAACUAUAACGGUCCUAAGGUAGCGAAAUUCCUUGUCGGGUAAGUUCCGACCUGCACGAAUGGCGUAAUGAUGGCCAGGCUGUCUCCACCCGAGACUCAGUGAAAUUGAACUCGCUGUGAAGAUGCAGUGUACCCGCGGCAAGACGGAAAGACCCCGUGAACCUUUACUAUAGCUUGACACUGAACAUUGAGCCUUGAUGUGUAGGAUAGGUGGGAGGCUUUGAAGUGUGGACGCCAGUCUGCAUGGAGCCGACCUUGAAAUACCACCCUUUAAUGUUUGAUGUUCUAACGUUGACCCGUAAUCCGGGUUGCGGACAGUGUCUGGUGGGUAGUUUGACUGGGGCGGUCUCCUCCUAAAGAGUAACGGAGGAGCACGAAGGUUGGCUAAUCCUGGUCGGACAUCAGGAGGUUAGUGCAAUGGCAUAAGCCAGCUUGACUGCGAGCGUGACGGCGCGAGCAGGUGCGAAAGCAGGUCAUAGUGAUCCGGUGGUUCUGAAUGGAAGGGCCAUCGCUCAACGGAUAAAAGGUACUCCGGGGAUAACAGGCUGAUACCGCCCAAGAGUUCAUAUCGACGGCGGUGUUUGGCACCUCGAUGUCGGCUCAUCACAUCCUGGGGCUGAAGUAGGUCCCAAGGGUAUGGCUGUUCGCCAUUUAAAGUGGUACGCGAGCUGGGUUUAGAACGUCGUGAGACAGUUCGGUCCCUAUCUGCCGUGGGCGCUGGAGAACUGAGGGGGGCUGCUCCUAGUACGAGAGGACCGGAGUGGACGCAUCACUGGUGUUCGGGUUGUCAUGCCAAUGGCACUGCCCGGUAGCUAAAUGCGGAAGAGAUAAGUGCUGAAAGCAUCUAAGCACGAAACUUGCCCCGAGAUGAGUUCUCCCUGACUCCUUGAGAGUCCUGAAGGAACGUUGAAGACGACGACGUUGAUAGGCCGGGUGUGUAAGCGCAGCGAUGCGUUGAGCUAACCGGUACUAAUGAACCGUGAGGCUUAACCUUACAACGCCGAAG
rnacentral:rRNA from 1 species